UACGAGGGGGGCGAGCGUUAUUCGGUCAAACUGGGCGUAAAGCGUCUUUAGGUGGUUUGGCGUGUGUUUGUGGCGAAAGUCCGAGACGUAACCUCGGGGUGUCCACAAAGACUGCUUUUCUUGAGUUUUGGAGGGGUAGGCGUUAUUCCUUUAAGAGAGUUAAAAAUGCUUUGACUGAAGGAAGAGGGCCAUGGGUGAAGACAGCCUACUAGCCAGAACUGACACUCAAAGACUAAAGCAUGGGGAGCGAUCGGG
rnacentral:rRNA from 1 species